rnacentral:rRNA from 1 species
CAAUAGCGUAUAUUUAAGUUGUUGCAGUUAAAAAGCUCGUAGUUGGAUUUCGGAUGGGAUUUGCCGGUCCGUCGUUACGAUGUGCACUGGCCAGUCCUAUCUUGUUGUCGGGGACUAGCUCCUUGGAUUCACUUCCUGGGACUAGGAGCUGACGAGGUUACUUUGAGUAAAUUAGAGUGUUCAAAGCAAGCCUACGCUCUGAAUACAUUAGCAUGGAAUAACACGAUAGGACUCCGGCUUAUCUUGUUGGUCUGUGAGACCAGAGUAAUGAUUAAGAGGGACAGUCGGGGACAUUCGUAUUUCAUUGUCAGAGGUGAAAUUCUUGGAUUUAUGAAAGACGAACUUCUGCGAAAGCAUUUGUCAAGGAUGUUUUCAUUAA